UGGAUACAUCAGUGGGGAGGACACGUGUUCCGUGCGAUGACAGCUCCUUUUAAUGUUUCAUAGCCGGCUGACAGAUAACAGCUCUCAGACCUUCCCUCGUUCCUGCGAUCACUCACGUGCCUCCGUCCUGAGGCCUCGCAGACAAACGCCAGGAAAUACGUGCGGUCGAGAUCACAUCACGCCUCAGUCCUCGGAGGCUCAAAGGGAGAGAUGGUAGCUGAGCGGUGACUCGGCCAAAGUUUGCUGUUUCCAGUCAGCACCGGCCUGAUUCACCGCCUGGUUUAACAUUCAGUGUGUGUGUGUGCGUGUGUGUGCGUGUGUGUGCGUGUGUGUGCGUGUGUGUGCGUGUGUGUGUGUGUGUGUGUGUGCGUGUGUGUGUGUGCGUGCGUGUGUGUGUGUGCUCGCUGCAAACCAGAACCAGAGCGCAGCUUCUUCUCCUUCACAAAUGAUUUUCAUCAUUCAUCCCAUCGUUCCAUUAGCUAGCGCUAACUGCAGCUAGCGCUAACUGGAGCUAGCGAGCCUCGGGAUCUCGUGGUCGCGGUCCGGCUUUGACGGGAGACAGAGAGGUGUGCGUGGCGGCGUGAGUCUAGUGCCGGCCCUUCAGUCGAUGGCCAUUACGCCGGCUUCAGAGCUGGAUGCUCAGGCUAAGUGUUGACUGAUAAAAAGGCGCCUGGAAGCACAACAGAAACCGGCCGAGCAACACAAAUGCAAAGUGGAGCCAAGGUGACUGCGGGACGGCGCUAAGGUCACCUUGUAGGAGGAGGAAGUUGGAUCCCGGAGGAGGAAGCAGCAUCUGCUGGAGAAACCACGACGCUGCCUUCCGUCACGCGUGACAUAAGCAUGUCAGCCCCACGGGCUGGAGUCACCUGCUGAUGUGAUCCACCAACACCGAUAAGGUGUGAAAAUGUGUUCAAACACUCAAGACUAAGAAAUAACAUUAUAAUACAUAACCUUUAUGAGUUGUCUUUUUAUUUUACUGCUUUGGAGCCCGUAUAAUGAAAACCGUCUGCUUGUUUUACGGCCUUAUUAUACGUUAACAAGAGUCAGGUCGGCCUGUGAUUAUGCGCGGAGGCCUCGUGUGAACGGUGAUUUGUGUUCUCACCGCACACGGAGCCAUGUUGAUGUAAAGUCUGUUAUGCUCUCCCUGUAAAUGAAGUGGAUCACCCUUUAAAUCAGGCUGCCGAGCGCAAACGCGUGCCCUCGCGCGACGACGGCGGACCGAGCAGCGGCGCGCGUCUCAAUAUGCGUCACCGCGCAUCUAUACUUGAUUGUUGCAAACCUGGCAGCUGCGACGCAACGCGGUGAUUACGGCCAACGCUCCUCUCUCCUGGAAAAGCAAACAGGCUCCGCUCCGACCGAGCAGCCCUUUUUCAUGAAACAAGCCGGUGUUAUGGCAACUCGCCCUUCGCUGAUGUUGCGCAGCGCUGCCAGAAAACGUGCUGGAUGCUUGUGUCAAAGGUUAAAUAGCAUAAACCGGAGCAUCAUCACAGAGCGAUGGAGCUCCAAGGUAAUGAAGAGUCAACAAAACAUCUGGAAUUAAUGAAAAAUACAAAUACUGCCGUUUACAGUAUGUGUGAAAACGUUUCACUCAUUUAUUAAAGGAUAGAACUGUUCUCCACCCACAUCAGUGAUAAUCAUCUCACCAGCUGCACGUGGCUCGUUCGUUUCCAUUCGUUGUGAAGACGCAGCAUAUUGUGUAGUCUGACGCGCGCCCAUCCAUCCACGCGGCCGAGACAGGAAAUGAAGGGGAGCCGUAUCGUCUGGUAAUAACACGGAGGCCGACGACGAAGCUGCGGCCGCGGACGGAGGCAGAGAUGGAAACGCGGCGAUUCAGGGGAACAGCGCGCGCGCAACCUAAUCAAUACGCACCAGCGCGCCGCAUUGACAACCAAAAUAGAGAGCAGCCGCGCUGUGUUUGUAGCCCACACACGCCUGCGUCGCUCGGGUCAAUCUGUGCUUUCUUCUCCAAUCAUCCUGAUGAAACGCAGCGGCUGCCGAAACACGGGCAGUCCACACUAAACUGCAGUUUAAACAAUCGGGAGGAGGAAGGGGUGGGUUUGAAGGCGUCGUCUCACUGGGGCUCGUUUAAAUGUUUAUGAAUAAUAUAAGUUACUCUCAUAUGGCAGAUGUAUUAAUUUCCUCAUGCAGAUUUGCCUUCAGCUGCAUUAAAACUUCUGCGAUAAGAGUAAAUAUUGCACUGAACUCAAUCACACGCAACACUGCCACCUUGUGGACAUCGACACGAAUCGCGUGUAAUAAUCCAGUCCAGUUAACAGAGAAGCCGGACAUAUAAACGGAGAUCAUCAUCAGAGAGAAAGGAGACACAUUUAAAGGAUGUUUUGAUUUUCUUUCAUGACUUGAUAUCAGUUUGUUUUAAGCUCACGUGUGUUAAUAUUAAAUAAUUUAGUAAUAAAGUCCAGGGUUUACUCUAAAUUCACAAAUAUUUCCUCCGCAACGCUCCCUCGUCAUCUCCACAUGCAACACUGCCCCCUUGCGGCGGAACAUAAACAUUACAACCGGCACCACAUCUCUCUCUUGAGACUGGAGGAUACAGCUGGAACCAGCAAGUGCGGCCACGGCCGCAGUAAGUUGGACCGUGUCAGCGAACAGGAACCGGAUCUGCUUCACUUGCGAGCGCUGGGAUUCUGCGCCGAGAUACGCUACGCGGAGCCAGCGCCAAACCAGGGUGACAUGUUGUGGUGGCUCGGCCUCGGUCACAUGGUUCGGACGGCCAGUCCACAUCAGAGUCCAACUCCGAGUCAGACGCGUUAACCAGGCUCCUGCCGUCAGCGCGUGGCCUCCGGCACCGGGCAGACCCACCUCAGCAUGCCUCACAAGAGCAAAAAAGACAAGGAAUCGUCCAAAUCUGGAAGAAGUAAAAAGUCUGGAAGUAAAAACGGGCCUUCAGAGGAUCAAGUGGGCUCCAACAAGAAAGUGCCUCCUUCCACUCAGCUGAUGAGGGUAAAGCAGCCGGCGUCACACUCGGCCGUGAAGCGGGAGAAGAGGUUCAGCACUUCCUCUUUUCCGCUCAGCGCUAACAGGGAACUCCACAAACUACCUGCACUGGCAGGUAUGUCUGCUUUAAUAUCCAGGGUCACUCUUUGUUCCUAUUUCAAAAAAUGCACCACCGCUGUGGUCACUGUGGAAAAUGCUGGGAGACAAUUAUCAGAGGUAGCAUGUUCGGGCCUUUAUGGAUGAAGGGAAUCAUAUUAACAAUUCAUGGCCUUGGUGGAUCCUCAUAGCCGCCUUUUUAACCUUGAGGACUCUGCUCACUAUAUAAUUUAUAGAUACGUAGACUGCCCAUCAGCUUGAUCUGUAAUGCAAAUGAUGUGCAAUCAGCCGCAUCUCCUGCUGUACCUGGAAGAAAGAGAUAGUGUAGCACCCCUGGAGGCCUCACUCCUGUAAGAUAAGCUCACACUGGCUGGACUGGAGGAGAGUGGUGGAAUCUGGGCCAUCCAGCAAAAAAAAAAAAAAAACCCAGAUGUAAACCACUCCCAUACACUGGUUAUAACAACAGCCUUAUUAAGACAUCUCAGUAACUAUGAUGGGGCUUUUGUCCAUGCGUCAUAUGAAGUCAUUUUAGUGAUUGCCAAUCGUCAAAUUAAGCACAGUAAUUAAAGCACGACCAGCUGGCACCAGGCAGGGUUUUGAUUUAGGGCAUUGAUCCGCUCUGUGUGCGCACAUCGGGCUGAUGCAGAUUCUUACACGAGGCAGCGAGGCUGAGGUUUGAACACUCGCAUCAAUCUUUCAUGGCUUCUUUGUUUACACGCAGCUUAACAGGCAGGCUCCGGUCCGAGCGGUUUCCUGCUGAGCUGCGCCGGAGCUCGGGUCCGGCGAGGACGCGAGGUGUCACAAUUUGCAUUUUUGCUAUUAAAAGUGCUCGAGGGAAAGAACGUGUGGACAGACCCUCAUUCAGACUAGAAAUAUCUUUAUUGUAAACUAUUAAUUGGACUUCUACAAGCAUUGAAUUGAUGGCUACUCAUUUUUUUUGCACGUGCUCCUUUAUGUUUUUAGCAGCUAAGAUGCUGUGAAGUGCCAAAGGCUUUAAAGUCUCAUCAUUCCCACUUUGUGCGAGUGUGCAUCUCACCCUUAAAUAUCAUGUGUCUACAGGCUGUCAGGGCCUGUAGGACUACACCGAAUGUGUGCUGAAGAACUGUUAACAGCAUGUUGCUGCACAUGUUAACAACAUGUAACGUUUAGUGAUGGGAUUGGGUUCCACAAGGUCCUGAUGCAGCCUGUGCUGCCACCUACUGGUCAACAAGUAGAAGUGCUUUAAAGUCAUAUUGUAGUUUUUUUUUACUAACUGCUUUUAAAAACCCUCACAUUAACUAUAAAACACCAUACACCAGAUGAUUAAACCUUUAUUUCUGCAUUAUACAAUGAAAAGAAAAUAAUAAUGUUCUGUUAUUCUUUGUUAUGACGAACAGAUAAAAGCGUAAACAUGGCUCAAACAUCAGUGGAAGAAAAUACUAAAAAGGCAGAAGGACGUGAAGUUGAAUCUCACUUUAUUUGCGUGUACCUGCAGAACUGUGUUUCCUCACUAAGUCUUACUUCCAGUACAAUAUCGGCCUCCUCUGUUGUUUACACCAAACAUUAACCUGUGGUUUAAUUAUACUGUUCACGCUCUGUUGUCAGUAAACUUUUACAGAGACACUGCUAAGGAUUUCUAGAUGUAGCGUUGGGUGUUUUGAUUUUCUCUCCAUUCAUAUCUGCUCAAAAUGUGGAUCUUUAAUAACCAAACAAUAAUAUUCUGUUCAUAUUUAUACUCAUGUUCAAGAUCUUGAACAAUUAUUAGUUUAAAUACCUUUUUGGUCCAAACAAAGGCCCAGAGGCGGAGGAGGGGCUGGGCCUACAUGUGCAUUCACUGCUACUACUUCUAUUUUGUAAAGCCAUAAAGCUGAGAAAUGGCACAAAGGAGAUCCAACCACAUAACAAUGCAAAAUGCAAAAACCUCAUUCUGUGUGAGUCUGAGGGUUGAUAUAACAGAGACGCGGGGUGGCGUCUACAGCAUCCUUCUGUGCAUGGGGCCCCACUUUAUAUCCGGCUAAGCACACGAUACCCAGUGAAGAGGUUGUGUCUUUCCAUGGGCAUUUCUGAGCCCACUCCCACUCAGGCUGCUGGGAAAUAAGUGGCAGCUUUCAGAAAAUACCAGCGUUCGUUGUCAUGGCUGUGGAAUGUAAUGGCACCUCUUGGAGAGGCUUUGGCCCCUGAGUGAGAGAACGGUAGGAGUGAAACCUGUUAGCGAUAGACUUGGCUUUCGCGUCCUGGGCCCAUCCAGCCCACAGAACCGAGCAGAACACCUGCCUGGGACACGUGUUGGCUGCAAGAAAAUCAUAUUUUUAGGUCACAUCUGCCUUUUCAGUAGCAUUACAUCAAGCAAAACAGCUGCUUGGUUGGUUAGAUUUUAAUUAAUUGUUCCGUGUUAUUGGAACAUAUCAUUGUUGCUGUGAAUAAAUAACUGUGUAAUGAUGUGGUGUUGUGUGCCCUGCUGUUAUGAAAUACGCAGUCGGCCCUGCCAUAAAUCACAUGCAACAAAGGGAAGAUGCUUUAUUAUGCAGACAUGAAAUGCAGAUUAUUCAGCUUCACUUUGGACUUAACAGUUCCAAAAUACUAUCAUUAAAUUAUUAAAAAUAUACACGUAGAAC